UUUUAAUUAGUAUAAUUAAGUAUAAUUACCUUCCAAGUAAGAGGACAAAUAAUUGAUUAUUAC
rnacentral:tRNA from 1 species